GGAAGUAUUGAGUGUGGAUACUAUGUGAUGAGGUAUAUGAGAGAAAUUGUGACUAGGGGAAGCAUUGUCAUAUCCGAUGCGAUCAUACUCACAGGCAGAACUACACGAGGUGCGAGUUGAGUUAGCUGACUUUUUGGGUUCUUACAUAUGAUUAUGACCAAUAUUUUGUGAUUCUGAAGUAGGAAA